CCUAACGAGUCUGAUCCCCAUCUCCCUUUCUCCCUCGAUCCCUUCUGUCCGCACCACCAGGCGCACCCACCCACAACCCACCAUGGAUCCCGCAUCCCUUCGGCGCUCCUCUCGUUGACCACCAUCGUCGCCUCCCCCAAGGCCACCGGCGCUGAUAUUCAAACCAUGGUCCUUUUUAGUGGAGAGGCGUUGAGGAGAUGGCAGUCUCCGUCGCCCUGUCGCGGAUCGUCACGGCCGCCAACGCCCAGCACCGCCUCCCUCGCCGCUGAUCAACGCCGCCACCAUGCCACGCACUGCCGCCACCCCGCCGUCCUCUCCCUGUGUCAACUUCCGCCACCACCGCGCAGAAACCAAUCGCCAUCACGCCCCCUCCCCAUUUACGCCCAGCCUCCCUCGCCACACGCGGCCUCCUGUGUAGCCAGCAUCAUGCCCAGCGUCGCCUCCCUCGCCGGCGCGCCUGCAGCCUCCACCAUAUUAUGGAGUCACCGCCGCUGCCACCGCCUUUCCAGGUCGUGCUUCCUGAUUGCAACAGUAAAGGGGGAUUGAAGCGGUCGUGAGGUCAAGGAGAGGGGAGGUCCAGGCAUUGGAGAGGAGGAAGAAGGUGGUGAAGGUUGUUCUGUUGCUGCUGAUCCUCCCCAGGCCAGACACGGCCAUGUUCUGUUGAUACUGAUCCUGUAUCACAGUGCCCACAAUAUGUUUGAGGUAAUGCCCACCAGGUUGCUUUUUGAUUAAUUAGUUCAAUUAUUAUAUGGACAUGUGAAGAUACUUUAGUUUGAUCGAGUCCAGAUAAUUGAGUUCAAUCGAGUCAAAUGUGGAGGAGUAACAUCUACGUAUAGAAAUUGAUAAUAAGUAAUCCAAUGCCCGAUUCAGUUCUUAGUUCUUACGUCUACAUAUGCAUGCAAUGACUGAAUAUUAUGACGACCAGUUCAGGAUUCAGAGGUAGAGGAAUAGCCUGCAAGUGUGCACCGUUUCUGAUGCUUGCACGGCGAGUGCUCUUCCUGGCCACCGCCUCGGGCACCACCAAUGGCAUCGGGAAGUAUUCAUCCGCCAAACCAGCUGUGCAGGCACCCUCCUCCGAAACACUCUCAGCGAGCCCCCUCACCCAAUCCAGCAUUCCCGGCCAUGUACUCCCACUUCCUCUUCAACCCCCUCCCGUUGGGUCAGGCCUUCCUUCAAUUCGGCGGACAUUGAGUCGCCGCCUCGGCUCUAGACUCACUGGCGAGUGGACUGGCGAGGGAAGAUGACGGGAUGGAGAUUGAUCACUAUACGCAAAAGGUGGACCUACUUUGUUUUGUUAUUAGUAUUACCAACACUAAACUGCAUGCAUGGGAACUGGGAGUUUGAGACGGGCUUGCAGUAAGUUGUAAGCCGCGACCAUACAAUUUCAGUAUCUAUUCAUGUGUACGUCGGACCUAGACAAGGUUGGAGGGCAGGUAGAGGACCGGUGGUGCGUUAGGCAUGCAGCGUGUGUAACAACAGUCGACCACAGGUGGGCAGCACACUGUCACUAGGGAAGGAGAUGGUGGCAGUGUGUUUUGAUUAGCAGCAGGUGGCUCCAUGGUGGCCAGUGCAGCAGCGAGCUAGCGUGUUGCUGUGGGAAGAGGCAGAAAAAUUAAUCUGUUUGUGGUUGGACGAUGGAUUCCCGUUCCCUGGUAGGCAGCUAGCUCUUGAAAUAAUUUCAGCAAGAACAACAUCCUCAAUUUGGAGUGGUCUUAUUCGCUACUGCAUAUCUUGGACAUUUUCAAAUGUAGAUCAGAUUAACUAUAUAGUAGACACUGUGCUGUUGGUGUUUAACUGCUCGUGAGAUACGCGUCAAUAUUGCAAUCAACUCUGACUGCAAUUGUAUAGUCUCAAGGGCCUGCAUUCUAUAUUGAAGGUUCAACAUUGAAGCUGCUUGCAUUGAUCCGCAAUAGACCUUGACUUCAGCAAAAAAUGAGGUUUCAUGGUGGCAGUGCCUUCUUCUACAUGAUGGGAAUUCAACGGCAUUUUUUUUUGUUAAAUACUAGCUGGGUGUGUCGUCUAUUCACAGAUCGUGUAAUUUGACCAUCUCUUGCAGACAAAACACUCGGGGAAAGUUCCCAGCCGUGCACCUGUGACCGCUGGAGAGGCAUACUGUUUUAGGAAUUCAUGACAGACUGGUAGUGAGGUUUGUGUCUAUAGGAUGGAAUUACUUGAUAUGUCAAAAUGGUGGUCUUUAUUAUGCAAUUUAAGUGAUCUUUUGUUGAACCCCUCCUUUCCAGAAAACUACUCAUAAUGUUUUGGGAUUAUUUGAUUUUAGUAAGGUGACUUAUACACCUAGACGGCGGGAGUAUUAAUUAAUCUUUCAAGUUUGAUCUUCUGUCUGCAUAGUUUUAAUGAUAUUGAAUGCAUCAGUUCAAAGCAUUUUGUGGUGAAAAUCUAGGUCAACAACCAUAUACUAAAUGAACAUGCUACUGACUGCAUUUCCUGUUAACAGAAUUUAUUGUUUGAUAUUUGGGAUCCUCAGUUUCUAACAAUAAUUCAACCUGUGGCAACACACCCGCAUAUGCACCUUAUAGAGAUGAAGGCAACCUUAUUUGGUUGUCAGACUUGAAUAUAAGUCGAGCGUAGUGGCACGUGAAGCUGGUUUAGUCGAUUUUUAAGCCCGUUGCAACGCACGGAUGUUUUUCGGAUUAAAUGGAAGUGCGGAUUAAAUGGAAGUGCGGAGCUAAAAUAGGUAAUGAUGAACAUUGUUAGGGUCCCUCAAAUUUCAUCUUACAAAAAGAAAUACUCAGUUUAACCUUAUUUCUGACGUUUACAAAAAUUGGUUUAUAAAAAUAUUGCAUAAUGGCACAUGGAGCAUGUUAUAUUUUAUUUUUCGCCCAGUGCAACGCACGGGCAUUCUGAGAGAGUGAAGCAUAUUUGCUUGAGAUUUGAAUUAUUUUUUUAUGUCAGGUUUGUACGCUAUAUUGUUUGAUUAAUGAAAACUGAUAAGAGUAGUAGCAAACACUUGAUUGAGUAAGCUACUGGAUUUUACGAGUAAUACACAGUAGUUUCUUGCAAUAUUAUCUGCAUGACAAGAAACACCCAUAUUUGAUUUUGCUCUGUGAUUGGUUCAAAUAUCACUUUUUGGGCUAAAGCUGAUUGGAUACGAGUAGUAGUGUCAACAGUAAUAACUUGAAACAUGAUUUUAUCAUGGCUCUAAAUUUUAUUGCUGAUGAUUUCUUUCAGGAUAUUUGUAGAGGCUAUUUGCACCGUAGUUCAAGGCAGAUGAUAGAGUACAGGCGAGGCAACUCACUUAUAUUGGUACUCGUUUAAAUGGUUAUCUAUUCUGCCGGCAUAGUUACAUGCCAUAUUAAUUUCAGAAGAACAAUUUCUAAUUUAGUGUUGUGCUUGCAUGCAUUGUUAUGUCUAAAAAGAAAAUUCCAAACAAAAACAAAUAUAAAGUCACAGUUUGUCUUUACA